CAGAAACCCUACAGGAACAAUGCUGGAAGACCUGGUUGCUGUCAGAGCUGCUUUCUUCUACUUGACUCCCUCUUUCUUCUCCCUUCCUUUGCUCCCUCUCCCUUCCUCCCUCCACCCCCCUUGCUCUCCCUAAGGUCUCCUAUAUCUAACCCCAGACUGGCCUCCAACUCUCUAUUUAGUCAAGGAAGACUUCGAACUUCUGAUCCUCCUGCCUCCACCUCACCUCCCAAGUGCUAGGUUGCAGGAAUUGACCCAUGUUAUGAAGUCUGGAGGUUAAGUCCAAGAUCUCAGGCAUUCUACGAAAGCCCUCACCGUGAGAGGCCCCAGCUCCACAAGGAGGUUUGCUCUCUGCCCUUACAUUUCUGGCUAUGAUGACAUAUGUGGCAAACAACCGGAGACAGGAGACUGAUGAUGGACCCAAGGAAUGUGAAGGCUCUCCCCGAAGACACUCCUGAAAGCAGCUCCAUGGACCCUAAGAAGUGCUGGAUUCCACAUGCAUUUGUUCUCACCUCUCCUCCUUACAGCAUUGCAAAGGGGUGCAGAGAUUGACAGCUCCAGCCCUGAUAUCCAGAGUGCCUGGCACACUAUCUCCAACUCUGUAUAUGCCCAAUGUUCAUGUCUAAAUUAGUCAUCAACUCCAAAAAUAGUGAAUGAAAAGACUUAACAGAGCGGCUGAUGGUGCCUGAUCCAAAAUCAUAGUGUGGAA
rnacentral:lncRNA from 1 species